CGGGGUGUAGCGCAGUUUGGUAGCGCACGUGGUUUGGGACCAUGGGGCCGGGGGUUCGAGUCCUCUCACCCCGACCA
rnacentral:tRNA from 1 species